AGCGGGGGAGUAGCAAUACUCCCGCCGGCGACCGGCGCACGGGUGAGUAACACGUAUGAAACCUGCCCGUAGCAGGGGGGGAUAAGCGGAAGAAAUUCCGUCUAAUACCGCGUAACAACCCUUGGAGGCAUCUCCUCGGGUUUAAAGGAAGCGAUCCCGGCUACGGAUGGUCAUGCGUCGCAUUAGCUGGUUGGCGGGGUAACGGCCCACCAAGGCGACGAUGCGUAGGGGUUCUGAGAGGAAGGUCCCCCACACUGGUACUGAGACACGGACCAGACUCCUACGGGAGGCAGCAGUGAGGAAUAUUGGUCGAUGGCCGCAGGGCUGAACCAGCCAAGUCGCGUGAGGGAUGACGGUCCUAUGGAUUGUAAACCUCUUUUGUCAGGGAGCAAAGGGCGCCACGUGUGGCGCUUUGCGAGUACCUGAAGAAAAAGCAUCGGCUAACUCCGUGCCAGCAGCCGCGGUAAUACGGAGGAUGCGAGCGUUAUCCGGAUUUAUUGGGUUUAAAGGGUGCGCAGGCGGAAUGUCAAGUCAGCGGUAAAAUUUCGGGGCUCAACCCCGUCGUGCCGUUGAAACUGGCGUUCUUGAGUGAGCGAGAAGUAUGCGGAAUGCGUGGUGUAGCGGUGAAAUGCAUAGAUAUCACGCAGAACUCCGAUUGCGAAGGCAGCAUACCGGCGCUCAACUGACGCUCAUGCACGAAAGCGUGGGUAUCGAACA
rnacentral:rRNA from 1 species